GUUCAAAGUUGGGGUUGUUAUGCUCUCCACCAUCUUCAUGAGCAUGCACAUCAAACACAUCGUCAUCAUCAUUGACAUCUGUUCCGUCAAAUUCAUCAUCAUCCCCAUCAGAUUCUGUAUGAUCAUGGGGAUCACCAAAACCGUCCUCAUCGUCUAAUACAUAACUUCCAGCUUCCCAACUUCCAAAAUCACUCCCCUCACUCGUCAUUCUAAGCAUUAGGUAUGCCCUUUCCUGUUCUUGAAGGGUACGAGCGAGGGCAAGGUCAGCAUCAACCUGGGUGAGAUUAGUGAAGGGAGUUCUGGAGGAGUGGCGAGAAGGGGUUUGAUGGGAGGUGGAGUCGGAUCCAGUAGUGUCAUUCUGGGGGUCUGAAACAGAGGGCGGAGAUGGAUUGGAAUUGGGGUUUUGAUCAUGGUCGGAAGAGGC
rnacentral:misc_RNA from 1 species